rnacentral:rRNA from 1 species
UACGAAGGGGGCUAGCGUUGUUCGGAUUUACUGGGCGUAAAGCGCACGUAGGCGGAUUGUUAAGUCGGGGGUGAAAUCCCAGGGCUCAACCCUGGAACUGCCUUCGAUACUGGCAAUCUAGAGUCCGGAAGAGGUGAGUGGAACUCCUAGUGUAGAGGUGGAAUUCGUAGAUAUUAGGAAGAACACCAGUGGCGAAGGCGGCUCACUGGUCCGGUACUGACGCUGAGGUGCGAAAGCGUGGGGAGCAAACAGGG